rnacentral:rRNA from 1 species
UACGAAGGGGCUAGCGUUGCUCGGAAUCACUGGGCGUAAAGGGUGCGUAGGCGGGUCUUUUAAGUCAGGGGUGAAAUCCUGGAGCUCAACUCCAGAACUGCCUUUGAUACUGAGGAUCUUGAGUUCGGGAGAGGUGAGUGGAACUGCGAGUGUAGAGGUGAAAUUCGUAGAUAUUCGCAAGAACACCAGUGGCGAAGGCGGAGCUCACUGGC